GCCCUAGUAGUUUAAUUUUAAAACAUCGGUCUUGUAAGCCGAAAAGCGGAGAUUAAAUCCCUCCCUAGAGCA
rnacentral:tRNA from 1 species